UACGUAGGGGGCAAGCGUUGUCCGGAAUCAUUGGGCGUAAAGCGCGUGUAGGCGGCUUCGUAAGUCCGUUGUGAAAGUCCAGGGCUCAACCCUGGAAUGCCGAUGGAUACUGCGGAGCUAGAGUCCGGAAGAGGCGAGUGGAAUUCCUGGUGUAGCGGUGAAAUGCGCAGAUAUCAGGAGGAACACCGAUAGCGAAGGCAGCU
rnacentral:rRNA from 1 species